rnacentral:tRNA from 6 species
GGUCUUGUAGUGUAGCGGUUAACACGCCUGCCUGUCACGCAGGAGAUCGCGGGUUCGAUUCCCGUCGAGACCGCCA